rnacentral:rRNA from 1 species
GACUUGACAUCUCCUGAAUUACUCUUAAUCGAGGAAGUCCCUUCGGGGACAGGAAGACAGGUGGUGCAUGGUUGUCGUCAGCUCGUGUCGUGAGAUGUUGGGUUAAGUCCCGCAACGAGCGCAACCCUUAUUGUUAGUUGCUACUAUUAAGUUAAGCACUCUAACGAGACUGCCGCGGUUAACGUGGAGGAAGGUGGGGAUGACGUCAAAUCAUCAUGCCCCUUAUGUCUAGGGCUACACACGUGCUACAAUGGCUGGUACAACGAGCAGCAAACCCGCGAGGGGGAGCAAAACUUGAAAGCCAGUCCCAGUUCGGAUUGUAGGCUGAAACUCGCCUACAUGAAGUUGGAGUUGCUAGUAAUCGCGAAUCAGCAUGUCGCGGUGAAUACGUUCCCGGGUCUUGUACACACCGCCCGUCACACCAUGAGAGCCGGUAACACCCGAAGCCCGUGAGGUAACCGUAAGGAGCCAGCGGUCGAAGGUGGGAUUGGUGAUUGGGGUGAAGUCGUAACAAGGUAGCCGUAGGAGAACCUGCGGCUGGAUCACCUCCUUUCUAUGGA